rnacentral:tRNA from 1 species
AAUGCUUUGGUUCAAUGGUAGAACAUCUGUCUUUUUCACAGAUGUGGGUUCAAGUCCCAUGGAUAA